rnacentral:rRNA from 1 species
UACGAAGGGUGCAAACGUUGCUCGGAAUUAUUGGGCGUAAAGCGCACGUAGGCGGCUCUGCAAGUCGGAUGUGAAAUCCCUCGGCUCAACCAAGGAAGUGCAUCCGAAACUGCGGAGCUUGAGUACUUAAGAGGAUCGCGGAAUUCCCGGUGUAGAGGUGAAAUGCGCAGAUAUCAGGAAGAACACCCGUGGCGAAGGCGGCUCUCUGGAACGCAACUGACGCUGAGACGCGAAAGCGUGGGGAGCAAACAGG